CCUACGGGAGGCAGCAGUGGGGAAUAUUGGGCAAUGGGCGCAAGCCUGACCCAGCAACGCCGCGUGAAGGAAGAAGGCUUUCGGGUUGUAAACUUCUUUUCUGAGGGACGAAGAAAGUGACGGUACCUAAGGAAUAAGCCACUGCCAACUACGUGCCAGCCGCCGCGGUACUUCGUAGGUGGCAAGCGUUAUCCGGAUUUAUUGGGUGUAAAGGGCGAGUAGGCGGGAAAGCAAGUCCGAUGUGAAAACUCAGGGCUCAACCCUGAGCCUGUAUUUGAAACUGUUUUUCUUGAGUGCUGGAGAGGCAAUCGGAAUUCCGUGUGUAGCGGUGAAAUGCGUAGAUAUACGGAGGAACACCAGUGGCGAAGGCGGAUUGCUGGACAGUAACUGACGCUGAGGCGCGAAAGCGUGGGGAGCAAACAGGAUUAGAUACCCGAGUAGUC
rnacentral:rRNA from 1 species